rnacentral:lncRNA from 1 species
UCCAAGACCAAGUUCACCAAGAGGUGCCUCCCCACAAGCCGUCUCUUCAAAGCCGCCUUCUCCAAGAGCAGAGCUACCAACAUUGGACACUCCAAGACCUCCUUCUCCAAGAGCUGCUUCUUCAAGGGCAGAGCCACCAACAUUGGACACUCCAAGACCUCCUUCCCCAAAAACUGCCUCUCCAAGGGCAGACCCACCAAGAUUCGAUGCUCCAAGACCCACCACGCCUAAACCUCCUUCUCCAAGAGCAGACACACCAAGAUUGGAUGCUCCAAGACCUACCACGCCUAAGCCUCCUUCUCCAAGAGCAGACGCACCAAGAUUGGAUGCUCCAAGACCCACUACGCCUAAGCCCUCUUCUCCAAGAGCGGUUUCGCCUAGGGGUGUGCAGCGACGAGAGGUUGUUUAUAGACCAGAGGCGACGCUUCCGGUCCAACAUGCUUCUGCAACAAAGAUUCAAGGAGCUUUCAGAGGUUACAUGGUACGUAUACACAUUCUUUGUUUAUGUUACAAUAUUUUUCCAUUACACUAGCCUCCAUUUCCAAGACAAGGAAGUUAUUGACUUGUGUGAAACAGGCAAGGAAGAGUUUCAGAGCUCUCAAAGGUCUAGUCAGACUUCAAGGUGUGGUGAGAGGAUACAGUGUGAAGCGGC